AUGACCACAUCAUGUUAAAACACUGGUUCUCAUAUGAUCACCAAUGUUAAGCAACAUCAAGAAUGGUCAGUACCUAGAUGGGUGACCGUUUGAGAAUACAAGGUGCUGUAAG